UGGGGUGACGCGGAGGGACAUUACCGAGUUUACAACUCCCAAACCCAAUGUGAACGUUACCAAACUGUUGCCUCGGCGGGGUCACGCCCCGGGUGCGUAAAAGCCCCGGAACCAGGCGCCCGCCGGAGGAACCAACCAAACUCUUUCUGUAGUCCCCUCGCGGACGUAUUUCUUACAGCUCUGAGCAAAAAUUCAAAAUGAAUCAAAACUUUCAACAACGGAUCUCUUGGUUCUGGCAUCGAUGAAGAACGCAGCGAAAUGCGAUAAGUAAUGUGAAUUGCAGAAUUCAGUGAAUCAUCGAAUCUUUGAACGCACAUUGCGCCCGCCAGUAUUCUGGCGGGCAUGCCUGUCCGAGCGUCAUUUCAACCCUCGAACCCCUCCGGGGGAUCGGCGUUGGGGAUCGGGACCCCUCACCGGGUGCCGGCCCUGAAAUACAGUGGCGGUCUCGCCGCAGCCUCUCCUGCGCAGUAGUUUGCACAACUCGCACCGGGAGCGCGGCGCGUCCACGUCCGUAAAACACCCAACUUCUGAAAUGUUGACCUCGGAUCAGGUAGGAAUACCCGCUGAACUUAAGCAUAUCAAAACCGGGGAGAGAAAAA
rnacentral:rRNA from 1 species